rnacentral:rRNA from 1 species
CCUACGGGUGGCAGCAGUAAGGGAUAUUGGUCAAUGGGGGAAACCCUGAACCAGCAACGCCGCGUGAGGGAUGAAGGUUUUAGGAUUGUAAACCUCUGUUGUGAGAGAAGAUAAUGACGGUAGCACACGAAUAAGCACCGGCUAACUACGUGCCAGCAGCCGCGGUAAUACGUAGGGAGCAAGCGUUAUCCGGAUUUACUGGGCGUAAAGGGUGCGUAGGCGGCCUUGCAAGUCAGAUGUGAAAUCCUUUAGCUUAACCACAGAACUGCUUUUGAAACUGUGAGGCUAGAGUGAGGUAGAGGUAGGUGGAAUUCUCGGUGUAGCGGUUAAAUCCGUAGAGAUCAGGAGGAAUACCAAUUGCGAAGGCGCCCUACUGGACCAUUACUGACGCGCAUGCACGAAAGCGUGGGGAGCAAACAGGAUUAGAUACCCGGGUAGUC